GGCCUGGCCGGGCGGUCCGCCUAACGGCGUGUACUGUCUGGCCGGGCCUUACCUCCUGGUGAACCGGGGUGCCCUUUAUUGGGCGCCCCGGGGAACCAGGACCUUUACCUUGAGAAAAUUAGAGUGUUCAAAGCAGGCGCACGCUUGCAUAGAUUAGCAUGGAAUAAUGGAAUAGGACCU
rnacentral:rRNA from 1 species